UGAGGAAUAUUGGUCAAUGGGCGAGAGCCUGAACCAGCCAAGUAGCGUGCAGGAUGACGGCCCUAUGGGUUGUAAACUGCUUUUAUGUGGGGAUAAAGUGCGUGACGUGUCAUGCAUUGCAGGUACCACAUGAAUAAGGACCGGCUAAUUCCGUGCCAGCAGCCGCGGUAAUACGGAAGGUCCGGGCGUUAUCCGGAUUUAUUGGGUUUAAAGGGAGCGUAGGCUGUCUAUUAAGCGUGUUGUGAAAUUUACCGGAUCAACCGGUGGCUUGCAGCGCGAACUGGUCGACUUGAGUAUGCAGGAAGUAGGCGGAAUUCAUGGUGUAGAGGUGAAAUGCUUAGAUAUCAUGACGAACUCCGAUUGCGCAGGCAGCUUACUGUAGCAUAACUGACGCUGAUGCUCGAAAGUGCGGGUAUCAAACAGG
rnacentral:rRNA from 1 species